CCUUCGAUAGCUCAGUUGGAAGAGCGUGAGACUGUAAUUGGAUGCCUGGGGUAAUCUCAAGGUCACUGGUUCGAUCCCGGUUCGAAGGA
rnacentral:tRNA from 1 species